AAGAGUACGUAGGCGGUACUAAGCAUGGGGUUAAGGCGUGGCUUAAACACUGUUCGCCCCAUGAACUGGGCUACUUGAGUGCAGGAGGGGAAAGCGGAUUCCUAGUGUAGCGGUGAAAUGCGUAGAUAUUAGGAGGAACACCAGUGGCGAAGGCGGCUUCUGGACUGUAACUGACGCUGAGGUACGAAAGUGUGGGGAGCAAACAGGAUUAGAUACCUGGUAGUCCACACCGUAAACGAUGAGCACUAGGUGUCGGGCUCGCAAGAGUUCGGUGCCGAGUUAACGCAUUAAGUGCUCCGCCUGGGGAGUACGUACGCAAGUAUGAAACUCAAAGGAAUGACGGGGACCCGCACAAGCAGCGGAGCAUGUGGUUUAAUUCGAAGCAACGCGAAGAACCUACCAGGGCUUGACAUCCCUCUGACAGGCUUGAUAACGAUAGCCUUUCUUCGGACAGAGGGACAGGUGGUGCAUGGUUGUCGUCAGCUCGUGUCGUGAGAUGUUGGGUUAAGUCCCGCAAGAGCGCAACCCUUGUCUUUAGUUGCCAUCAUUGAGUUGGGCACUCUAAAGAGACUGCCGGGACAACUCGGAGGAAGGUGGGGAUGACGUCAAAUCAUCAUGCCCCUUAUGUUCUGGGCUAACACGUGCUACAAUGGUCGGUACAAAGAGCAGCAAGACCGCGAGGUGGAGCAAAUCUCAAAACCGAUCCCAGUUCGGAUUGCAGGCUGCAACUCGCCUGCAUGAAGUCGGAGUUGCUAGUAUCGUGGAUCAGAAUGCCACGGUGAAUGCGUUCCCGGGUCUUGCACACACCGCCCGUAA
rnacentral:rRNA from 1 species